UUGUCAGCAGUUGUCAAACUUCCUCUUCAGCAGCCUCAUAUAGAAACUAAAUGACCACACAGUGCUGCUGCGUCUUCACUAGAUGAUUACUGGAGCCUCUGAGUAUCCAUCAUCACCACCUUGUUGUGUUUUGUUCCCUGUGAUCCGGAUAUUCAGUGACCAGAGAUGCAGGUUCCUGUUCUGAUCUUAUACACUCUGGAUGAACUCGAUGCUGCUGAGUUCAAGAGGUUUCUGUGGAGCCUGACUCAGCCGGUGCUGGACGGAUGUCAGCCCAUUCGUAAGGGCUUUCUGGAGAGUGCAGACCGGCAGGACACCGUCAAUAAGAUGAUCGAGAGCUACGGUGAAGAGUCGGCUGUGAACGUGACUGUUGAAAUCCUGAGGAUGAUGAACCACAACAACACUGCAGAGAAGUUGAAGAAAACAUAUG